AAGGAUUUCAGCAGUGCAGUCAGAGUGUCAGACAGUCUGGCCAUCGCUGACAAUCCAGACCUGAGAAGCUGAGCAUCAGUGAAGUGCUGGAAACUGUUUCAAGUGUUUGGGUCACAUGCAGACACCAUGCCUAUAUUUAAAGUGCUGCUGAGCUGCCAGUUGGAGAACUUGACAAAUGUCCGAGUUCCUGACCCUGACUUUGGCUACAACAUCAAGGUACAGUGCAGCAGCUGU